GGGUGUAUUGGAAAUGAGCACCC
rnacentral:misc_RNA from 1 species